AUGACACUGUCUCUGGACUCUCUGUAGUUUCCAUGAUGACUGUGUUUUGAACCCUUUUCCAGCUGAUGACUGUUGUGGCUGCCU